GAAAUAUAUCACUUAGCUUAUUGCAGUUGACAUGAUUAUCUACCUUACAAGCAAUUAACAUACCAGAAUUAAGGGAAUCGUGGAGUUGGACCAACUCUUUUACCUAAAUCCCACAUGCCCUCUUCCCCAAAAAUUAAAAUCAAACCUACGACUCAUUAAAACGAGCAAAUAAUAGUCCAAUAGCAAAACUCAACUCUUUUAGCAUCACUUUAUAAAGCAAAAAUCCCAUUGGGCCAUUUCAAUUAUCUUCUAUAACAGUCCAGUUGCCUUGAAAUUAAUAUAUUUAUAGUACCACUUUAAACAUGAAUAAUAGAAUCCAAAGCAAUACUAGAAAAUAACGUGCAUUCUUCCCCUAGUUAAACAUAAGUAAGCAUCUAAAUACACUAAUAAUAUUCAAAAGUAAAAUAAUACCAUUCAAAAGCCAUAUAUCGUUCCUAAAAUGUAUCCUUCAGUUACCACAACUAACCUUUACAUUUCACCUACCAAACAAGAGAGAAGAUUCAAAAUCAUAAACAUUUAAACCAUUUCCUAAAAAAAUAUGCAGAAUGUUCAAUAACUUGAAAUCUAAAGAUGCCAAUAUUUCUAACCAAAGAUCAAAUCGAUACAUACAAAAUUAUGAAUACAACCACAAUUUAUUCAAGCACAACUCAAGCUAAUAUAAAACAAGAUAUGAAAUAUAAUUUUAAAAAAAACUUCAGAUUUAUGAGUUCAAAAAUGGACCUUAGUUAAGUGAGAGUGACUCCUAAUGCUCAGAACAACCAUGGACGAGAUCUCAGUCGAAACUCCGUCGACCUCAACUCAACCCAGAAACUUUAGCUAUUUCCUAAGUAGUGCUUUGGAGGUGAGGAGCUGGGUUUCGGUGGCCAUUUUUUAAGCUAUUUUCAUGGAAGGUAGAUGGUGGAGUCAUGGGAGGUUUUCACUGGUUUUCAUGGAAGAUAGACGAUGGAGUUAUGGGAGGAGAAGCUCGUUGGUGUCACAGUCACCGGAUUCAGGCAGAAGCACGCCGAAGCUCUUGCAACUACUGCACAGCUUUUCCUUUUACUCUGUUUCCUAAAGUCGAUUCCCCCUCCCGUUUUUCUUCUGUUUUCCCGUUCAGCUUCCCCUUUUUCAGAUCUUUUUUCUUUUUGCUCGUUUCUCUUUUUUUUUUUAUGCCCCUAAUCCCUG
rnacentral:lncRNA from 1 species